rnacentral:rRNA from 1 species
UGAGGAACAUGACCUUCGGCGGGGGAUAGCCGGCCCAACGGCCGGGUAAUACCGCGUACGACCACAUGGGGACAUCCCUGAGUGGUGAAAGCAGCAAUGCGCCGAUGGAGUGCCUCGCGGCCUAUCAGCUAGUUGGCGAGGUAACGGCUCACCAAGGCGACGACGGGUAGUCGGUCUGAGAGGAUGGCCAGCCACAUUGGGACUGAGACACGGCCCAGACUCCUAGGGAGG